GAUGAACGCUGACAGAAUGCUUAACACAUGCAAGUCUACUUGAAUUCACUUCGGUGAUAGUAAGGUGGCGGACGGGUGAGUAACACGUAAAGAACUUGCCUUACAGUCUGGGACAACUAUUGGAAACGAUAGCUAAUACCGGAUAUUAUGCGAGAGUCGCAUGACUCUUGUAUGAAAGCUAUAUGCGCUGUAAGAGAGCUUUGCGUCCCAUUAGCUAGUUGGUGAGGUAACGGCUCACCAAGGCCACGAUGGGUAGCCGGCCUGAGAGGGUGAACGGCCACAAGGGGACUGAGACACGGCCCUUACUCCUACGGGAGGCAGCAGUGGGGAAUAUUGGACAAUGGACCAAAAGUCUGAUCCAGCAAUUCAGUGUGCACGAUGACGGUCUUAGGAUUGUAAAGUGCUUUCAAUUGGGAAGAAAAAAAUGACGGUACCAAUAGAAGAAGCGACGGCUAAAUACGUGCCAGCAGCCGCGGUAAUACGUAUGUCGCAAGCGUUAUCCGGAUUUAUUGGGCGUAAAGCGCGUCUAGGUGGUUUGGUAAGUCUGAUGUGAAAAUGCGGGGCUCAACUCCGUAUUGCGUUGGAAACUGCCUAACUAGAGUAUCGGAGAGGUGGGCGGAACUACAAGUGUAGAGGUGAAAUUCGUAGAUAUUUGUAGGAAUGCCGAUAGAGAAGUCAGCUCACUGGACGAAUACUGACACUGAAGCGCGAAAGCAUGGGGAGCAAACAGGAUUAGAUACCCUGGUAGUCCAUGCUGUAAACGAUGAUUACUAAGCGUCGGGGGUCGAACCUCGGCACUCAAGCUAACGCGAUAAGUAAUCCGCCUGGGGAGUACGUACGCAAGUAUGAAACUCAAAGGAAUUGACGGGGACCCGCACAAGUGGUGGAGCAUGUGGUUUAAUUCGACGCAGCGCGAGGAACCUUACCAGCGUUUGACAUCCUAGGAAUGAGAAAGAGAUUUCUUAGUGCUCCUUCGGGAGAACCUAGAGACAGGUGGUGCAUGGCUGUCGUCAGCUCGUGUCGUGGAUUUGGGUUAAGUCCCGCAACGAGCGCAACCCCUAUUGUAUGUUGCCAUCAUUAAGUUGGGCACUCAUGCGAUACUGCCUGCGGUGAGCAGGAGGAAGGUGGGGAUGACGUCAAGUCAUCAUGCCCCUUAUACGCUGGGCUACACACGUGCUACAAUGGGCAGUACAGAGAGGAGCAAAUCUGCGAGGAGGAGCAAAUCUCACAAAGCUGUUCGUAGUUCGGAUUGUACUCUGCAACUCGAGUACAUGAAGUUGGAAUCACUAGUAAUCGCAAAUCAGCUAUGUUGCGGUGAAUACGUUCUCGGGUCU
rnacentral:rRNA from 1 species